AAAAGAAACCAACAGGGAUUGCCUUAGUAACGGCGAGUGAAGCGGCAACAGCUCAAAUUUGAAAUCUGGCCCUCGGGUCCGAAUUGUAAUUUGUAGAGGAUGAUUUUGGUGCGGUAUCUUCCGAGUUCCUUGGAACAGGACGCCUUAGAGGGUGAGAGCCCCGUACGGUUGAAUGCCUAGCCUCUGUAAAUCUCCUUCGACGAGUCGAGUAGUUUGGGAAUGCUGCUCUAAAUGGGAGGUAAAUUUCUUCUAAAGCUAAAUAUUGGCCAGAGACCGAUAGCGCACAAGUAGAGUGAUCGAAAGAUGAAAAGCACUUUGAAAAGAGGGUUAAAUAGCACGUGAAAUUGUUGAAAGGGAAGGAUUUGUGACCAGACUUUUUCUGGGCGGAUCAUCCGGGGUUCUCUCCGGUGCACUUUGCCCAGUAAAGGCCAGCAUCGAUUUUCGGCGGCGGAUAAAAGCAGUGGGAAUGUGGCUCCCUACGGGGAGUGUUAUAGCCCAUUGUAUAAUACGCUGCUGGGGAUCGAGGUACGCGCUUCUGCAAGGAUGCUGGCGUAAUGGUUAUCAAUCACCCGUCUUGAAACACGGACCAAGGAGUCGAACAUUUAUGCGAGUGUUUGGGUGUUAAACCCUCACGCGUAAUGAAAGUGAACGGAGGUGAGAGCCCGUACGGGUGCAUCAUCGACCGAUCCUGAAGUUUUCGGAUGGAUUUGAGUAAGAGCAUAACUGUUCGGACCCGAAAGAUGGUGAACUAUGCGUGGAUAGGGUGAAGCCAGAGGAAACUCUGGUGGAGGCUCGCAGCGGUUCUGACGUGCAAAUCGAUCGUCAAAUCUGCGCAUGGGGGCGAAAGACUAAUCGAACCAUCUAGUAGCUGGUUACCGCCGAA
rnacentral:rRNA from 1 species